rnacentral:rRNA from 1 species
AUUGAACGCUGGCGGCAGGCCUAACACAUGCAAGUCGAACGAGUGGCGGACGGGUGAGUAAUGUCUGGGAAACUGCCUGAUGGAGGGGGAUAACUACUGGAAACGGUAGCUAAUACCGCAUACCAUCAGAUGUGCCCAGAUGGGAUUAGCUAGUUGGUGGGGUAACGGCUCACCAAGGCGACGAUCCCUAGCUGGUCUGAGAGGAUGACCGGCCACACUGGAACGGAUACACGGUCCAGAAUCCUACGGGAGGCAGCAGUGGGGAAUAUUGGACAAUGGGCGAAAGCCUGAUGCAGCCAUGCCGCGUGUAUGAAGAAGGCCUUCGGGUUGUAAAGUACUUUCAGCGGGGAGGCGUUACCCGAAGAGGAAGCACCGGCUAACUACGUGCCAGCCGCCGCGGUAAUAC